rnacentral:ncRNA from 1 species
AGCGAUAAAGGCAAACCCUGAGUGAUCAGGGGACGCAAAGUAAAGGGUCUUUAGACUUACAGGGAAGUAGGGAUAAAGAAGACAGCCUUAAUUCAGAAAAAGACAGCCUUACUGCCGGAG